rnacentral:hammerhead_ribozyme from 1 species
AUCCAUCUAAGGAGUCCGAAAUAGGACGAAACGCGCUUCCUGGAU